GUGGGUACAAGGAAUCUACUUUUAUUCAGCACACUAACCUAAUUUCCGAGACAUGUUACAUACCUGAAACAUGUCUUAGAAAUUAGGGUUUUUCUUGGUUUGUGUGCUGAACAAAGUAGAUUCCUUGUACCCA
rfam:Medicago truncatula strain A17 chromosome 1, whole genome shotgun sequence.